GUUGCUUAUAGGCAUAUUUAGUCUGCCUUCACACGGCAGGGGUCACAGGUUCAAUCCCUGUCGCGCCCACCA
rnacentral:tRNA from 1 species